rnacentral:lncRNA from 1 species
CGUGAAGUUUACUGUUCAAUCAUCCAACAGUUGCCGACAAGAGUGAAAGAACAGUACCGGUUAUUAAUCUAUAUAAAUGUCCACCUUCACCCUUCAUAGCAAGGCAGACAUACAGAACCUUUCUUCAUCUCCGAGAAUGCCUUCCCAACGAAGCCUCUCGGGUCACUCAGUGUUCCUUAUUCCUUGGGGUACCUCUGCAAGCUAAUGACUCCAAAGCAAAAGUAUCUCAUAUCACCAGGGUAGAAAGCAAGAGUAUCUUAUAUCAUGCGUUCUCCCUGUCCUUUCCUUUGUCCUUGUUCCUACCUACAAAGACAAUGAUAAAGAAAACAAUAUGCCGGAACUUCCACUCAAACUCGGGUAAGGAACUGACUGCUGGGAACCCUUCCCUGAUUGCCUACCU